GAAUGAAGCUCUGAAAGACAGAAUGCAGGGAAAUAAAGCUCUAAAAGACAGAAUGCAGGGAAAUGAGGCUCUGAAAGACAAAAUGCAGGAGAAUGUAAGAGAAUGAAGCUCUAAAGGACAGAAUGCAAAGGAAGAAGCACUGAAAGACAGAAUGCAGGGGAAUGAAGCUCUGAAAGACAGAAUGCAGGGGAAUAAAGCUUUGGAAGAUAGAAUGCAGAGGAAUGAAGCUCUGAAAGACAGAAUGCAUUGGAAUGAAGCUCUGAAGGACAGAAUGCAGGGGAAUGAGGCUCUGAACAACAGAAUGAAAGGAAAUAAGCUUUAGAGGACAGAAUGCAGGGAAAUGAAGCUUUGAAGGACAGAAUGCAGGGGAAUGAAGCUCUGAAAGACAAAAUGCAGGGAAAUGAAUCUCUGAAGGACAGAUUGCAUUGCAGAAAAGCUUUGAAGGACAGAAUGCAGGGGAAUGAAGCUCUGAAAGACAGAAUGCAGGGGAAUGAAGCUCUGAAGGACAUAAUACAGGGAAAUGAAGCUCUGAAGGACAGAAGUAGGGAAAUGAACCUCUAAAGGACAGAAUGCAGGGAAAUGAAGCUUUGGAGGUCAGAAUGCAGGGAAAUGACGCUCUAAAAGACAGAAUAGAGGAUAAUAAAGCUCUAAAAGACAGAAUGUAAUGGAAUGAAGCUCUGUAAGACAGAAUGCAAUGAAAUGAAGUUCUAAAAGACAGAAUGCAGGGGAAUAAAGCUCUGAAGGACAGAAUGCAGGAGUAUAAAGCUCUGAAAGACAGAAUGCAGUUGAAUGAAGCUCUGAAAGAUAGAAUGCAGAGGAAUGAAGCUCUGAAAGACAGAAUGCAGGGAAAUAAAGCUCUGAAAGACAGAAUGCAGGGAAAUGAAGCUCUGAAAGACAAAAUGCAGGAGAAUGUAAGAGAAUGAAGCUCUAAAGGAC